ACAGGUGAGGUUCUCGGGAGCC
rnacentral:miRNA from 13 species